rnacentral:tRNA from 1 species
GCGCCGUUAGCUCAGCUGGAUAGAGUGUUUGGCUACGAACCAAAAGGCCGGGGGUUCGAGUCCCUUACGGCGCGCCA